GGAAGUAAAAGUCGUAACAAGGUCUCCGUUGGUGAACCAGCGGAGGGAUCAUUACCGAGUUUACAACUCCCAAACCCCCUGUGAACUUAUACCUUUACUGUUGCUUCGGCGGGUUUAGCCCCGGGGCCAGGCUCGCGAGGGCCUGCCCGGAACCAGGCGCCCGCCGGGGGACCAAACCAAACUCUUGUAUUUACUUUACAUGUAUGUCUGAGUGGUAUUUAAAAAAAAAAAAUGAAUCAAAACUUUCAACAACGGAUCUCUUGGUUCUGGCAUCGAUGAAGAACGCAGCGAAAUGCGAUAAGUAAUGUGAAUUGCAGAAUUCAGUGAAUCAUCGAAUCUUUGAACGCACAUUGCGCCCGCCAGUAUUCUGGCGGGCAUGCCUGUUCGAGCGUCAUUUCAACCCUCAAGCCCCAGCGGUUUGGUGUUGGGGACCGGCGAUGGUGCUUGCUCCGGCGAGCCCGCGCCGCCCCCGAAAUGAAUUGGCGGUCUCGUCGCGGCCUCCUCUGCGUAGUAGCACAACCUCGCAACAGGAGCGCGGCGCGGCCACUGCCGUAAAACGCCCCAACUUCUCAAGAGUUGACCUCGAAUCAGGUAGGAAUACCCGCUGAACUUAAGCAUAUCAAUAAGCGGAGGA
rnacentral:rRNA from 1 species